CAAAGUAUAGCUUAUGCAAAGCACCUUGCUUACACCAAGGAGUUGUUUGACACUCAGACUAUUUUGAAUUACG
rnacentral:tRNA from 1 species